UGGCGCGUGAAAAAAUUUGGUUUUGGUUGCGACGGACGGAACCAAUAAAGAAAAGUCCUGCUUAGAAUGUCCUCGGAAGAAAAGGAUUCUUAUCAUCGGUCAGUUCUGAAGAUGUUGCUGUGUUUGUGUAAUAUAAACAGGGAAGCCGUAUGUUUUCGGGACCAUUCACGUAUUGAUGGAGCGCACUGUCCGGGUACUUACAUGCCGGAAAUUCCUCAAAUGUAUCUCCCCGGAUGAAUAUGAGUGACUAUCCAAUUACGCUGGUGGGUGGUGAUACGGGCUCGAUGCCGAUUGCCAAUCCGGACAUUCUUUACAUACGUAUGUGUUUUGUUUAUAAAAAAAAUUGAACUGACAUUUAAAAUAAAGUGAAAGUAUUAUGUUUUGAAUUAAA